CAGUAGUCACGAGUUUGACUCCUGGCUCAGAACGAACGCUGGCGGCAUGCCUAACACAUGCAAGUCGAACGAGACCUUCGGGUCUAGUGGCGCACGGGUGCGUAACGCGUGGGAACCUGCCUUUAGGUUCGGAAUAACUCAGAGAAAUUUGAGCUAAUACCGGAUAAUGUCUUCGGACCAAAGAUUUAUCGCCUUUAGAUGGGCCCGCGUUGGAUUAGCUAGUUGGUGGGGUAAAGGCCUACCAAGGCGACGAUCCAUAGCUGGUCUGAGAGGAUGAUCAGCCACACUGGGACUGAGACACGGCCCAGACUCCUACGGGAGGCAGCAGUGGGGAAUAUUGGGACAAUGGGCGAAAGCCUGAUCCAGCAAUGCCGCGUGAGUGAUGAAGGCCUUAGGGUUGUAAAGCUCUUUUACCCGAGAUGAUAAUGACAGUAUCGGGAGAAUAAGCUCCGGCUAACUCCGUG
rnacentral:rRNA from 1 species